rnacentral:tRNA from 1 species
AAGUCUGGGGUACUUUUAUCUACCGUGUCCAAAUUUGCACUUCGGAAUUCCAAACU